AUGAACGCUAGCUACAAGCUUAACACAUGCAAGUCGAACGAGAAGAGAUGAGAAGCUUGCUCUUAUCGAUUCGAGUGGCAAACGGGUGAGUAACGCGUAAGCAACCUGCCCUUCAGAUGGGGACAACAGCUGGAAACGGCUGCUAAUACCGAAUACGUCUUUUGUCGCAUGGCAGAGGGAAGAAAGGGUGGCCUCUACUUGUAAGCUAUCGCCUGAAGAGGGGUUUGCGUCUGAUUAGGUAGUUGGUGAGGUAACGGCCCACCAAGCCGACGAUCAGUAGCCGGUCUGAGAGGAUGAACGGCCACAUUGGGACUGAGACACGGCCCAGACUCCUACGGGAGGCAGCAGUGGGGAAUCUUCCGCAAUGGACGAAAGUCUGACGGAGCAACGCCGCGUGAACGAUGACGGCCUUCGGGUUGUAAAGUUCUGUUAUACGGGACGAAUGGUACGACGGUCAAUACCCGUCGUAAGUGACGGUACCGUAAGAGAAAGCCACGGCUAACUACGUG
rnacentral:rRNA from 1 species